rnacentral:rRNA from 1 species
AGAGUUUGAUCCUGGCUCAGAAUGAACGCUGGCGGCGUGCCUAACACAUGCAAGUCGGAUGUGCCGCAAGGUGCAUGGCAGACGGGUGAGUAACGCGUGGGGAAUCUACCUCUUUGUGGGGAAUAACGCUCCGAAAGGAGUGGUAAUACCGCAUGAGACCUUCGGCUGGGAUGCUGGAGGUGAAACCUGGGGACCGCAAGGCCUGGGGCAAGGAGAGGAUCCUGCGUCUGAUUAGCUAGUUGGCGGGGUAAUGGCCCACCAAGGCGACGAUCAGUAGCCGGCCUGAGAGGGUGAUCGGCCACACUGGAACUGAGACACGGUCCAGACUCCUACGGGAGGCAGCAGUGGGGAAUUUUGCGCAAUGGACGAGAGUCUGACGCAGCAACGCCGCGUGGGUGAUGAAGGUCUUCGGACUGUAAAACCCUGUCGUCAGGGACGAAGGUGGCACGACUAAUAAUC